GCCCCGGGGUAGGCUCGCGCCGCCGCGUCAGCUCAGCGCUUGGUCCCGCAGCUGUGAGGAGGACGCUCUGCAGACUCGCUGCCCGCCGGCUCCCAACCCCGCGUCACUGCGACCGCCGCGGCAAAGAUGGCCUCAGGAGUGCAAGUAGCUGAUGAAGUAUGUCGCAUUUUUUAUGACAUGAAAGUUCGUAAAUGUUCCACACCAGAAGAAAUCAAGAAAAGAAAGAAGGCUGUCAUUUUUUGUCUCAGUGCAGACAAAAAGUGCAUCAUUGUAGAAGAAGGCAAAGAGAUCUUGUUUGGAGAUGUUGGUGUAACCAUAACUGAUCCUUUCAAGCAUUUUGUGGGAAUGCUUCCUGAAAAAGAUUGUCGCUAUGCUUUGUAUGAUGCAAGCUUUGAAACAAAAGAAUCCAGAAAAGAAGAGUUGAUGUUUUUUUUUGUGGGCACCAGAACUGGCACCUCUGAAAAGUAAAAUGAUCUAUGCAAGCUCCAAGGAUGCAAUUAAAAAGAAAUUUCAAGGCAUAAAACAUGAAUGUCAAGCAAAUGAACCAGAAGAUCUCAAUCGGGCUUGUAUUGCUGAAAAAUUAGGUGGAUCCUUAAUUGUAGCCUUUGAAGGAUGCCCUGUGUAGGUCUUUCAGUGCCACAAAUUGAAAGCUUCCAUGUUUAAUGUUAUUCUCUUGCUAUAUAAAUAAAGCAAAUACAUUUAGGUCAGGGUCUCACUGAAGGGGAGCUGUCUCAUCAUCUUUUAGAGUAAACGAAAUAUUCUAUAAACAUAUGCAAACAGCCCCUAAAUAAAUCUAAAGUCUAAAGUUUUAUUGGUGUGAAAUUAAAUUCUUAUUGGCCAUAUGCCUGUUUUAAUGAGUUGAUUUAUAAAGAUUUUUGUUAAGCUCAGGAUUUUAAAUUAUGCAGUUCACAAAACAGUAAAGGCCAUGUGAAGAGAAUUAUUACAUCUUUAUUAACCUCAGCAUUUACUUUGCUUCUUUUGCUUAGAAAAUUGCUCAUAAUCUGGUUAUAAUUUUGGCCCAAAUUCUUUAUUCUUCCUUGAGCUAAGCAGAAUAAUGGAAUAUAAUAUGUCUUUAUAAUAUAACAACACUAAUACACUAAUAGUAAGAUUAAGUCAGGCAGUCUUUUACUUCUACCAAAUGUGUAAUGGAGAUUGCUUCAAAAUUGUGUCCACAUAAUCCACGCUGAUCUUGCAAAAGCACUAUUUCAAGCACAUCAUUGGAAUACAGGAAGUAGCCCUGCACCUGCCGGUGAGCUCACCAUUCACUGAUUGGGAGAGUGACCUGGCAUCUUGCAAAUCAUGGUGUGUCUUCAGGAGAAUGUGCAGUGUCUUGUAAUAAAUUAUAAUGCAAACUAGGGCUACACUGUAAUCUGCUUUGUUAAUGAAAAUGGCAAAACAAUAUCGACAAACUAGGACACCUGUGGUAUCUUUAAUUGUAUCUCAUUCAGAAGUUUGCUUCUUAUGGUAUAAUAAAGUAUGGAAGAAUAUUGAGUAUAUGUUUACUCUGGGCCUGGGAGAACUUAAUUUUGUAGAGCAGUUUGUUGACUUGUGUGCAAUGGGGAGAGGUACCAUGAUGACACUCACAGGGAGCCACUGUUCACUGACAUUUGGAAGUGGUCAUUGUUCAUAUCAUGGGCAUAACACUUUGAACGAUAUAGAGAUGCACCAACAGUUGAACUUAGAAGUAGCAGUAUUGGCUUUGUGUAAUAAAGGAAGCAUUUUUGACUUAAAAAAAAAAAAAAAAAAAAA